AUCAACCAAUCGUGAGAGGAUCAUGUAUCGAAGAUCUCUUGAGGAGAUGUGAAGUGGGAGAUGCCUUUUGUUGAUGAGGUGGCUGGUUGCCUCGAACUCCUUUCCUGUAGCAUGCAUAGCACCUUAUCUAGGUCGUGAAUGUUGACCUCUACUUGACACCUCGAUGAAAAUUAUGCAUCACCUUGGCUACCUUAUAUGUGGCCUCAUCUCGACCAAGUAGGAGGAUGGUGUGGAAUAUGUGCCUAGUUGACUUGCUGGCUAGCUGUUACGUGGUGGUGAUCUGGAGCUUUGUCAGAAGAGGUGUAAUAACAACAAUCCAUUUUGAACCAUUCCGCAAUAUUUCCUCGGUCGUUUGAUGUUAUAAAAUGCAUUUUCUCUUCUAGCUUUUCUUAGAUCUGGAAUUCUUUACCAUGUUAGCUUUG
rnacentral:lncRNA from 1 species